UGGUACAAGUUGAAGUGUGCAGACA
rnacentral:piRNA from 1 species